AAAACCCAAACCCAGCAUUACUCACACCACAUAAGGGUCACCUGAAAUUAGUAUAACAAGCUACAAAAAAUGACUUAUGAGGAGGGCUCAUUUGAGGACGGGGGUCUUUUCUAUGGCUUUGAUAACUACUCAGAAUUGCUGGAGAGUCCUGACAACAGUAGCAGUGAUACUGAGUACACCUGUAAUGACGGAGCAGGUCUCCAGCUGUUUCAUACUGUGUUCCAACCCCUGGUCUACAGCCUGGUGUUCUUCCUGGGGCUGACAGCCUGGUGUUCUUCAUGGGGCUGACAGGUACACACACACCUGUUUCAUAUUGUGUUCCUGGUCUACAGCCUGGUGUUCCUACGGGAUCUUCCAAUAGUCCAGGUAUAACACUACCUAAUAACAGUCUGUGUAUUAUCUUAUGGUUUAUAUUCCACCAGGUAACAGUCUG